rnacentral:rRNA from 1 species
CCUACGGGUGGCAGCAGUGGGGAAUAUUGCACAAUGGAGGAAACUCUGAUGCAGCGACGCCGCGUGAGUGAUGAAGUUAUUCGUUUUGUAAAGCCCUAUUAUCAGGGAAGAUAGUGACGGUAUCUGAAAAAUAAGCUCCGGCUAACUCCGUGCCAGCAGCCGCGGUAAUACGUAUGGAGCAAGCGUUACCCGGAUUCACUGGGUGUAAAGGGAGAGUAGGUGGGAGAGCAAGUCCGAUGUGAAAACCCAAAGCUCAACUAUGGAACUGCAUUAGAAACUGCUAUGCUAGAGUGCAGGAGAGGCAGGUGGAAUUCUUGGUGUAGCGGUAAAAUGCGUAGAGAUUAAGAGGAACACUAGUGGCGAAGGCGACUUGCUAGAAUGUAACUGACACUGAGGCGCGAAAGCGUGGGGAGCAAACAGGAUUAGAUACCCGAGUAGUC